rnacentral:rRNA from 1 species
AUGCCAGACUCCUACGGGAGGCAGCAGUGGGGAAUAUUGCACAAUGGGGGAAACCCUGAUGCAGCGACGCCGCGUGAGUGAAGAAGUAUUUCGGUAUGUAAAGCUCUAUCAGCAGGGAAGAAAAUGACGGUACCUGACUAAGAAGCCCCGACUAACUACGUGCCAGCAGCCGCGGUAAUACGUAGGUGGCAAGCGUUAUCCCGAUUUACUGGGUGUAAAGGGCGUGUAGGCGGGGACGCAAGUCAGAUGUGAAAACCAUGGGCUCAACCUGUGGCCUGCAUUUGAAACUGUGUUUCUUGAGUACUGGAGAGGCAGACGGAAUUCCUAGUGUAGCGGUGAAAUGCGUAGAUAUUAGGAGGAACACCAGUGGCGAAGGCGGCCUGCUGGGCGACAACUGACGGUGAGGCGCGAAAGCGUGGGGAGCAAACAGGAUUAGAUACCCGUGUA